rnacentral:lncRNA from 1 species
CUCAGGAUUGAUCACUAAAGAAUGAAUUUCAUCUCGGUUCAUUUCAUCUGUCUGAAAGCUAGGUAUCAAGAAGCCACUGUAGUGAAAACAAAGAAAUGUACACACAUCCAAUGGACCAUCCUCCUUCCGUGUUCACAAUAUCAUCUAGUCUAUCAGUCUGCUGAUUCAGAGACACGUAUAACCUUCUCUGAAGAAAGGUACCUCAAAUGAGGUACCUGUACUAGUCUGGCUGGGAUGGAGUUAACUUUCUCCAUACAACCUUGUACGGUGUUGUGUUUUGGGUUUGUGGCUUAAGAAGUUUUGAUAACACACCAUUGUUUUGGCUAUUGCUGAACAGUGCUUGCACAGCAUCAAAUCUUUUCCUUUUUCCCACCCUGUUCCCAGUCCUUGCUAGGAGGUCAACUUGUUUGGAGGUCAACAAGAGACUGGGAGGAGGGACAGAUAGGACAGCUGUCCUGAAUUGUCCGAAGGGAUAUUGCCUGCCAUAUAAUGUCAUGCUUAGCAAUAAAAAGUGGGGUAGAGGAGGAAGAAGGAGGUUUGGGGCUUCAAAGGUGGCCAGUGCCAUCAGAGACUGGAUGGGCACUGGUCUGCUUGUGAGAGAUGACAAAAAGCCCAAAGAGAGCAGGAAGGAGGAAGAGGAGGAUUCCAGGCCCUGAGAGCAGCCAGGCAGAGCGGCGUGUCCCUGGCACAGGAGGAGUGGAGGACAUGCGUUCCUCUGGGAUUAUGCAGAGCUGCUGGAAGUGAAGCUUGAAAACCGGCAGAACGGAAGCUUGGAAACUGAGCCCUGGACUGAAGCUGGUAAUUUACCUUAUUUGAAAUAAAAACAGCUUAAGUUGAAGCCA